CCUACGAGAGGCAGCAGUGAGGAAUAUUGGUCAAUGGCCGGAAGGCUGAACCAGCCAUGCCGCGUGAAGGUCCGUGCGCUAUGGGCGUUAAACUUCUUUUGUGCGGAAGCAAUAAUGGUCACGUGUGGCCAGACGAGAGUACCGUACGAAUAAGCAUCGGCUAACUCCGUGCCAGAAGCCGCGGUAAUACGGGGGAUGCAGGCGUUAUCCGGAUUUAUUGGUUUUAAGGGUGGCUUAGAAUGUGAGUUAAUUAAGCGUUGAAUUGCCCCCGUUAAAAGGGGUGAAGUGCCAUGGUUACUGCCGUGCUGGAAGUCGGAUCCCGGGGAGGAAUGUGUGGUGUAGCGGUGAAAUGCAUAGAUAUCACACAGAACACCGAUUGCGAAGGCAUCUCACGAAUCCGCGAUUGACGCUGAUGCACGAAAGCGUGGGUAUCAAACAGGAUUAGAUACCCUAGUAGUC
rnacentral:rRNA from 1 species